AGGUGGCACAGUGGGUCAGUUUGGCUCUUAACCAGAAGGUCAGUGGUUCAAGCCCACUCAGAGAUG